GUGAGGAAUGACCCAUGGAUGUUAGCCCAUGCACUUGCCCACUUGGGUGGGCUUUUUAUAAGAGUUGAUAGAGGAAAGAGCUUUCUGACCUGUAUCUUCCCAUCUAAAAGGAGGAGGAUUGGGAGAGAGAAACUAGGACAGCAGCUGUUGGCUUUUGGGGGAAGCAGGAGUUGGUAGGGGGGGAGACCUGAAAAAGAAAUGUUUAUAAGGAUCUCCAUCCUUCAUUUAAAUGGAGGGCCCGAGUUUGCCGUAGAUAUUCAGGUAAGAAAUGGGUCCCUGGAGACCAGGUCUCCUCCCUCACCACACCAUCCAAGUGUGUCACAAAAGCUCUACCUUCUCAUCCACCCUGGCACCGCACUGCACCCCAGUUCUUUGGCUGAGGGCUCAUGCCACGCCAUGUCUUACGUAACUGUUAAAUGCCUCUUCUCAUCCUCUGGCAUACCCCCUCGGGGUCCAGAAAGCACAGAAGAAGGGUCCUGGCCGAGGGAGAGACUACCAAACUGUGUUGCUGACCAGCCCCCGAGUGGUUGCGCAGUUAGCAACCACCCGACGGACGUGAGGGCAGACUCUGUCUUCCAUCUUCGUCACCAGUGGUUUCUUGGGAACAUCUGCCCUGGAGAUAGAACAGUGCCUCUCAGCUUCCUUCUGUCACUCAGCUCGCUUGGGGAGAUCUUUCCAAAGGAAAAGGGAUGCAGGAUUCAUUCAUCUCAGAAGAUCCAGAACCUCCCCACCUCCAUGAUGGAUACCAGUCCGCACAAGCAUUGCUGGAGAAGCUUGCUGGUGAGGUGAAGCCGUCAUGGCCCAGGAGGGACUGGGUUGGUCUCUUUUGGCUUUAACAGCAACACCAACAAUUAUAACUAGCAUUUGUGUAGUGCUUUAAUGUUUACGAUGCAUUUUACACACGUUAUCUCGUUUGAUUUCAUUAGAGGAGAUAUCCUGCAGGCCUUCUGUGGUUUUGACUUGUCUGCGGUCCGUGUGUUUGCCAGAUUCUUUUAGGCCUUCAGAAAUACACCUUCAUCACUCUUUCAUCCUUUCCUGCCUGUGUGUGGGCUAGAUUUGCUAUCGUGCUGUCGUAGGUUUAAAUACAUGGAAGAAGGCUUGACCUUUGAUCC
rnacentral:lncRNA from 1 species